rnacentral:snRNA from 1 species
AGCUUUGCGCAGUGGCAUUAUUGUAGCCAAUGAGGUUUAUCCGAAGUGCGAUUAUUGCUAAUUAAAAACAAAUGAAACCCUCCUACACAUAUGAAGAGCCCAGAAAUUAUUUGUUCUCCCUG